rnacentral:rRNA from 1 species
UACAGAGGUCCCGAGCGUUGUUCGGAUUCACUGGGCGUAAAGGGUGCGUAGGUGGCGAGGUAAGUCGGAUGUGAAAGCUCGGAGCUCAACUCCGAAAUGGCAUUGGAAACUACCUUGCUCGAGGGUUGGAGGGGGGACUGGAAUGCUUGGUGUAGCAGUGAAAUGCGUAGAUAUCAAGCGGAACACCAGUGGCGAAGGCGAGUCCCUGGACAACAACUGACGCUGAGGAGCGAAAGCGUGGGGAGCGAACAGG